rnacentral:rRNA from 1 species
UAUUGCCUACGGGACGCAACAGUGAGGAAUAUUGGUCAAUGGGCGAGAGCCUGAACCAGCCAAGUCGCGUGAGGGAUGACUGCCCUAUGGGUUGUAAACCCCUUUUGUAUGGGGGGAAUAAGCUUUACGAGUAGAGUGAUGACAGUACCAUACGAAUAAGCAUCGGCUAACUCCGUGCCAGCAGCCGCGGUAAUACGGAGGAUGCGAGCGUUAUCCGGAUUUAUUGGGUUUAAAGGGUGCGUAGGCGGCAUUAUAAGUUAGUGGUAAAAUAUUGGGGCUUCACCUCACUACGCCAUUAAUACUUU